rnacentral:ncRNA from 1 species
GAUUUGGGUAUCUGUUGAUUCAGGUUUAAUAGGGAACACGGGUGAGAGUCCCGGACAGUCCCGCUGCUGUGUUUCUCGGAUAUCGGUUCAGGAUGAGCAGUCGCUCCCAUGGCUGCAAAAAACGCCACUGGCCAUUCAUGGCCGGGAAGGUUCCUGAAGCCAGGAGAUAAGUCAGAAGACCUGCCCAAGAUUC